AGGUAAGGUAUGGUGGGGUGAGGUGAGGUACGGUACGGUGGGGUGAGGUAAGGUACAGUGUGGUGAGGUGAGGUAUGGUGGGGUGAGAGGAGGUAAGGUAUGGUGGGGUGAGGUAAGGUAUAGUGGGGCGAGAGGAGGUAAGGUAUGGUGGGGUGAGGUAAGGUAUGGUGGGGUGGGGUGAGGCGAGGUACGGUGGGGUGAGGUGAGGUAAGGUAUAGUGGGGUGAGUUAAGGUAUGGUGAGGUGAGUUAAGGUAUGGUGGGGUGAGGUAAGGUGGGGUGAGGUUAGGUAUGGUGGGGUGAGUUAAGGAAUGGUGGGGUGAGUUAAGGUAUGGUGGGGUGAGGUGAGGUAUGGUGGGGUGAGUUAAGGUAUGGUGGGGUGAGCUAAGGUAUGGUGGGGUGAGGUGAGGUGAAGUAAGGUGAGGUGAGGUGAUUAGAGGUGUGGUAGGGUGAGGUGAGGUAAGGUACAGUGGAUUGAGAUGAGGUGAGGUGAGGUAACGUAUGGUGGGGUGAGGUGAUUAGAGGUGUGAUAGGGUGAGGUGAGGUAAGGUAUGGUGGGGUGAGGUAAGGUAUGGUGGGGUGAGAUAGGGUAUGGUGGGGUGAGUUAACAUAUGGUGGGGUGAGGUGAGGUAAG
ensembl:lncRNA